rnacentral:rRNA from 1 species
UUUGACAUGGCAGGAAGUUUCCAGAGAUGGAUUCGUGCUCGAAAGAGAACCUGCACACAGGUGCUGCAUGGCUGUCGUCAGCUCGUGUCGUGAGAUGUUGGGUUAAGUCCCGCAACGAGCGCAACCCUUGCCAUCAGUUGCUACGAAAGGGCACUCUGAUGGGACUGCCGGUGACAAACCGGAGGAAGGUGGGGAUGACGUCAAGUCCUCAUGGCCCUUAUAGGUGGGGCUACACACGUCAUACAAUGGCCGGUACAAAGGGCAGCAAACCCGCGAGGGGGAGCCAAUCCAUCAAAGCCGGUCGUAGUCCGGAUCGCAGUCUGCAACUCGACUGCGUGAAGUCGGAAUCGCUAGUAAUCGUGGAUCAGCAUGUCACGGUGAAUACGUUCCCGGGUCUU